UACGAAGGGGGCUAGCGUUGUUCGGAAUUACUGGGCGUAAAGGGCGCGUAGGCGGCCUGUUAAGUCGAACGUGAAAUCCCUGGGCUCAACCCAGGAACUGCGUCCGAUACUGGCAGGCUUGAAUUCGGGAGAGGGAUGUGGAAUUCCAGGUGUAGCGGUGAAAUGCGUAGAUAUCUGGAGGAACACCGGUGGCGAAGGCGGCAUCCUGGACCGAUAUUGACGCUGAGGCGCGAAAGCCAGGGGAGCAAACAGG
rnacentral:rRNA from 1 species